AGUACGUUUGAUCCUGGCUACGAGGACGAACGCUGGCGGCGUGCUUAACACAUGCAAGUCGAACGGUAAGGCCCCUUCGGGGGUACACGAGUGGCGAACGGGUGAGUAACACGUGGGUGACCUGCCCUGUACUUCGGGAUAAGCCUGGGAAACUGGGUCUAAUACCGGAUAUGACCUUCCCCUGCAUGGGGGUUGGUGGAAAGCUUUUGCGGUACAGGAUGGGCCCGCGGCCUAUCAGCUUGUUGUGGGGUAAUGGCCUACCAAGGCGACGACGGGUAGCCGGCCUGAGAGGGCGACCGGCCACACUGGGACUGAGACACGGCCCAGACUCCUACGGGAGGCAGCAGUGGGGAAUAUUGCACAAUGGGCGAAAGCCUGAUGCAGCGACGCCGCGUGAGGGAUGACGGCCUUCGGGUUGUAAACCUCUUUCAGUAGGGACGAAGCGCAAGUGACGGUACCUACAGAAGAAGCACCGGCCAACUACGUG
rnacentral:rRNA from 1 species